GGGGAAUUUUGGACAAUGGGCGCAAGCCUGAUCCAGCCAUGCCGCGUGCAGGAUGAAGGCCUUCGGGUUGUAAACUGCUUUUGUACGGAACGAAAAGACUCUGGUUAAUACCUGGGGUCCAUGACGGUACCGUAAGAAUAAGCACCGGCUAACUACGUGCCAGCAGCCGCGGUAAUACGUAGGGUGCAAGCGUUAAUCGGAAUUACUGGGCGUAAAGCGUGCGCAGGCGGUUAUGUAAGACAGAGGUGAAAUCCCCGGGCUCAACCUGGGAACUGCCUUUGUGACUGCAUAGCUAGAGUACGGCAGAGGGGGAUGGAAUUCCGCGUGUAGCAGUGAAAUGCGUAGAUAUGCGGAGGAACACCGAUGGCGAAGGCAAUCCCCUGGGCCUGUACUGACGCUCAUGCACGAAAGCGUGGGGAGCAAAC
rnacentral:rRNA from 1 species